ensembl:snoRNA
UGCAGCCUUGUCAAAUUCAGCAUCCCCUGAACAGUGGGCGAUGCUGGCCAAAAUGGCUGCUACAGAAUCCCUUCAGCUCAUGGGCCUCACUCCUUGAUCAGGAGGCUGUGGGGAUAAGUUUGCGCUGAAGACACUA